rnacentral:rRNA from 1 species
CAGCAGCCGCGGUAAUUCCAGCUCCAACAGUGUAUGCUAAAGUUGUUGCGGUUGAAAAGCUCGUAGUUGGAUUUUGGGCGGGCGCGGUCGGUCCGCCGCAGGGCGUGUUACUGGUCGCGGCCGCCUCGAGCUUCGGUUCUCCGUCGGUGCUCUUGACUGAGUGUCGGCGGUGGCCGAGAAGUUUACUUUGAAAAAAUUAGAGUGUUCAAAGCAGCUGCUCGCCUGAAUAGUGUUGCAUGGAAUAAUGGAAUAGGACCUCGGUUCUAUUUUGUUGGCUUUCGGAGCGCGAGGUAAUGAUUAAAAGGGACAGACGGGGGCUUCCGUACUCUGCCGCUAGAGGUGAAAUUCUUGGAUCGGCGGAAGACGAACUACUGCGAAAGCAUUCGCCAAGAAUGUUUUCUUUAAUCAAGAGCGAAAGUCAGAGGUUCGAAGACGAUCAGAUACCGUCCUAGUUCUGACUAUAAACGAUGCCAACUAGCGAUCGGGAGGCGUUACCAUGACGACCUUCCCGGCAGCUUCCGGGAAACCAAAGUCUUUGGGUUCCGGGGGAAGUAUGGUUGCAAAGCUGAAACUUAAAGGAAUUGACGGAAGGGCACCACCAGGAGUGGAGCCUGCGGCUUAAUUUGACUCAACACGGGGAAACUCACCCGGCCCGGACACAGGUAGGAUUGACAGAUUGAGAGCUCUUUCUUGAUUCUGUGGGUGGUGGUGCAUGGCCGUUCUUAGUUGGUGGAGCGAUUUGUCUGGUUAAUUCCGAUAACGAACGAGACUCUGGCAUGCUAAAUAGUUACGCGACCUUCUCGGUCGGCGUCUAACUUCUUAGAGGGACUAGUGGCGCUUAGCCACACGAGAUUGAGCAAUAACAGGUCUGUGAUGCCCUUAGAUGUUCGGGGCGCACGCGCGCUACACUGAAUGGAGCAGCGAGUGCUUUGCCUAGGCCGAAAGGUCCGGGUAACCCGUUGAACCUCAUUCGUGAUUGGGAUAGGGACUUGCAAUUGUUUCCCUUGAACGAGGAAUUCCCAGUAAGCGCAAGUCAUCAACUUGCGUUGAUUACGUCCCUGCCCUUU